rnacentral:lncRNA from 1 species
AGCACUUUGGAAACCAAUGGCUGAAAAGUUUGCUUUCUGUGAGAAGUGUAAAUCAAAGUCAUGUUUCUGUUUCCAGCAGUAGAGGAAAGAGAGAUAAACCUGAUGGACACAAGCAGGUAAAAUCUGCCCAAAAUGACUCUGGGGCUUGUUGAAAAAUUAACGCCUAUGAGAUCUGUCUCAUUUGAAGGCAAGGCAUGGCGAAUCACCUUUCCACAUCAGUGCCUGGGUCUGAUCUGUACCAUCUUUAUAUGCUCAGCAGAUUAACUGGAGCUAUCUGAAGGAACCCUAUAACCAGGAGGCCGCUGUCCUCAGGGUUGAGCACCAUCUAUGGUCAUAUCAGGGAAACUGUAUAUUUCCCAGCCAGGAAUAAACAUUCCUGCUUUCAAGUCUCCC